AACGUAGGUACCGAGCGUUAUCCGGAUUUACUGGGCGUAAAGCGUGUGCAGGCGGUCGUGCAAGUCGGGCAUGAAAGCCCCUGGCUCAACUGGGGGAAGCUGUCUGAUACUGCAUGACUUGAGGGCUCGAGAGGGCGAUGGAAUUCCGCAUGUAGUGGUGAAAUGCGUAGAGAUGCGGAGGAACACCAGUGGCGAAGGCGGCUCACUGGUCCAUUACUGACGCUGAGGUGCGAAAGCGUGGGGAGCAAACAGG
rnacentral:rRNA from 1 species